CCAAGAUAGGUAUGACCUUAAGGUAAGUUCUAUAAUUAUCAACCGUAAAAAACUCGUAUAACCGUUAUCUAUCUUGUGAAGGUUGGCUGCUUACAAUUUUUCGCCUAUGCCAGAUUUUUUUUUUUUUUGUUAAUAUUGCUCCUUUUAUCUUAUUUUUCAUGUUGAUCUUCUGUUUCUGGCCUUCUGGUGGCUUUUUUGUUGUAAAGACCUGAUUCUGGAACGUUUUGUAUUCCAGUUCCUUUUUGAAGACAUAGUCCUAAGAAAUGAAUCUUCUAACUGCCAAAGGAAAAAUAAAAAGAAUUCAAGGGGUGCUUACCCGAAAGAUUGCUCGAUUAUUUUCAUAAUAUUUAUAAUGUUUCGAUAAUUAUAAAUGAAAAUUUAUCUAUGUUGUUAAGAGUUAUAAAUGAAAUAGUACAAGUGUUAAGUUCUC
rnacentral:lncRNA from 1 species